AGGAUGAACGCUGGCGGCGUGCCUAACACAUGCAAGUCGAACGUCCUGUCUCGCAAGAGGCAGGGAGUGGCGGACGGGUGAGUACCACGUGGGUCAUCUACCGUGAGGUGAGGAAUACCGGCGAGAAAUCGCCGACAAGACCGCAUAGGCUCGAUGCAAGUCGAGCAAAGCUCUUUCGAGAGAGGGAGCGCCACACGAGGAGCCUGCGCCCGAUUAGCUAGCUGGUGGAGUAACGGUUCACCAGGGCGACGAUCGGUAGCUGGUCUGAGAGGACGAUCAGCCACACUGGGAUUGAGAACGGCCCAGACUCCUACGGGGGGCAGCAGUGAGGAAUUUUCGUCAAUGGGGGCAACCCUGAACGAGCAACGCCGCGUGCAGGAAGAAGGUUUUCGGAUCGUAAACUGCUUUUCGUCGGGGAAGAGAACGGACGGUACCCGAGGAAUCAGCCCCGGCUAACUACGCGCCAGCAGCCGCGGU
rnacentral:rRNA from 1 species